rnacentral:rRNA from 1 species
GACGAACGCUGGCGGCGUGCCUAAUACAUGCAAGUAGAACGCAGUUGCGAACGGGUGAGUAACGCGUAGGUAACUGCCUCAUAGCGGGGGAUAACUAUUGGAAACGAUAGCUAAUACCACAUACGGUGAGAUGGACCUGCGUUGUAUUAGCUAGUUGGUGAGGUAAAGGGUCACCAAGGCGACGAUACAUAGCCGACCUGAGAGGGUGAUCGGCCACACUGGGACUGAGACAGAGCCCAGACUCGUACGGGAUGCGGCAGUAGGGAGUCUUCGGGAAUGGACGGAAGUCUGACCGAGCAACGCCGCGUGAGUGAAGAAGGUUUUCGGAUCGUAAAGCUCUGUUGUUAGAGAAGCGGUAGCUAACCAGAAAGGGCCGGCUAACUACGUGCCAGCCGCCGCGGUAAUUC